ensembl:lncRNA
CAGCAUACAGCUGUCCAGAGCAAGCCAGCAGAACAUGCUGACGAGGGAUUUUAAAAUCUUGGCUAUCCACUGCUUCAUUCAGAGCUGCAGAGAGGCACCUCUGUUCCCUCUGAAUCCAGCCUUCAUCCAUCCCUUGUAAAUGUUACAGCUCCUUCCUGGCCUUUCACUUUGUUCAGCCAGGUGAUGUCUUUCUGGUUUCUCCAUUUUGAUUUACAGGGCUCCCUCCCAAGUGCAGAAGUAGAGAUUUUGGACAUGAGGGAGAAAGAAGGGAAAGGACGUUUCUUCACCCAGGGAUGCAGGGCUGGAAGGAUAUUUAUUUCUACACAGGUAUUGACAGAUCACAGAAGAUCCCACUGCUUUCCUUACUCCCCCUCAGACUCACAUGGAGAGAGCAGCAUAUCUGCAUUGUGUCAGUGCAAGCAACUCCAGCCAUUCUGUCUCCUGGGGAGAACUCAGACAACCAACUGUGGUGGUCAGCAACCCAAGUUCAGCAUGUAACUUAAAGUCAUGCAGGAGACAAGAAAAGUGGAACUUCACAGACACAGAGGUCACGCUUUGGAUUCAUUACCUUAUGGAGCAGCAUCUUCUUUUCCCAUGAGAAGCCUACAGAAAGGAAACAGGGGCUUCACUUUGUGUUCUCACUGGAUUUGUCAUCUCCACACGUUCAGUUUUGUCUAGGAUUUAGUCUCCAAUGAACAAUGUGAAUAAAUCAUUCUCAUGACAGCGCAGAAAUACAGAGUCUCUUGUGCAUGCUUGGGAAGCAGGGGGUAAACAGGUGAAACUGGAAGUCCCACUGUAUGGAAACAUACGUGUCUUUGCUGAAGGCAUUUUCUUAUGUAAAGAAGAUUGACAUUUCUUGCAGGUUGAUGUUCUUAGCUGCAGUCUCAUCAGUAAAGAAAAAUCUCUUGGUGUAUCAGACACUGCCUAGGGAACUUGCAGGAGACAGAAAAGCUAUGAGUGAAGUAGGGUAAUACAGAAAGAGUUUGUGCUUACUCCCCAAGCUGUCUCCCCAAAUCUGCUUAACACAGGCAAUAAAUAAAACCACAAGGAGAAGGCACUUCACUUACACAGCUUUUGGCUUUCUAAAGCUGCAGUCUAACAGAGAAAGUGCUUCAUGUUUUCUCCACUUGCUAAUCCUAGUGGCAGUACAGGACAUAGUACAGCAGCCAGUGCAACUGGGAUCCUCCGUGUAAACAUUUCCAUUCUGCAGAGGACCUUGGUGAGGUAAACACAAGCAGGAGUGGGGACUUGCACUCGAUUCUGAAAGAUUAUUGUCCUGUAGCCUGAUAUAGAGUGGAUUCAUCUGCCUUAAAUAAGAUCAUCACAGGUAAAACUCCACUGCAGGGGAAUGGGAAGUUUCAGCAACAAGGUAGAUGGUAGUUUAGGUUGGGAUCUAUCCUUGCUUUCUCAUGUAAAGAAGCAACACAUGUAGAACUCAUUCCAGGAUGAAAAAAAGUGAAAAAAAAAAGGUAAUUUUCCUGGGGAGUAUUUUUAAAGUGCUAGACAUUGGAAUCCUACAAACACACCAUCUGAAACUUUAAAAAAUAUGCACUAUUCUUCAGGUUUUGGUUGUAUUUUCCUGAAUUUAUCUCAACCCACCAGUCCUUGCACAUUUGCCCUUUCAAUUCUGUCCCCCAUUGCACUGAGCAGAGCACUGAGUGAGUGUCUGUGUGGUGCUCAGCUGACCACUGAGGUUAAAUCACAACAUCCAAUAACAUAAAUCUCUGAGGUGUGGAAUCCUGGGCACCCCACAACCCAUCACUCAAUUCAGGUCAGUAAUGACUGGAAUCCUUCAAGUGUUAUUUCAUAGAAUCACAGAAUGUCUGAAAUGAAGAAGAACCUCUUGAGAUCUCCUCUUAACUCCUCUGCUGAAGUGGAUCAGGAUGUCCAGGACUGUGUCUGAUUUGGUUCUGAAUAUCUCUAGGGAUGAAGACUGCACAACAUUUUCAGACAGCCUGUUCCUGUUGCCUUCCAUACUGCCCUCACAGUGAAAAAAGUUUUCUCUUGUGUACUCUCUUUCUGUACUGAAACGUGCAUGAUCUCAUCUGUCAUAAAGCUGGUGAGUACCUAGAUUCUUGGGGGAAAUCACAGGGAAACAAGCAUGUACAUCAGUGAAAAGAGAUUCCUGUGCUGCUUGGUGGCUGCUUGUUUUAGUCCUCAUCUUGUAAAUUGUUUCUCAUGUGGUAAGUGGAGGUGAUUUGCUCUGUCAAGUUUCUGUAGCUAGAUGUGCACUCUUCUGGAUGAAAUAAGAGAACCUGCACUUUUAGGUAACAAUCUAAUAAAUCCAUUAUUAAUAAAAAUUAAAAAAUCAUAUUCUCUAGAAAAAGGUGAUUUCAUAGAAACUGAAUCCUACCAUCAAGGAUAAAAACCAGCACAUUGGGGCUGGAGCAUCCUUUACCCCAAAGCAAAGCAGAAGUAGAAAAAUAAACGAUAUUUCACCUUAUAUUUGAGUAGCACUUAAUACUGGCAGUUAUUAUAGAUUUUACUUAACAUGGAGCUACCAUGCUGCUGUGAAGAAGAAAACACAAUGAGUAUCUAGGAUUGUGGAUUAAAAUGUACUGUUGAUCCUGGAGAGCCUGUCCCUGUCCCAGAGACAGGAAACGUCCGGGAUAUUUUUAAACCAGUAACUAUGUUUUCUUCACUGGGCUAAUACUUCUUCAACAGAUUGCUCUGUGAAGAGCUGGGUUCAGUAGACAUGUGCCUCCAUCUGAAAAUCUUAGGAUAGCACAGUCCACUUCAGCAAACCUGCUGCAGUUUAGAGUCAGAAGUAAGGUGAUAAAGGAUGCAUUUUUUACACUUUUUUACGUAUUUGGCAAAUGGAUUAUUGGAUGUGUUAUUAGUUUUGCUCUGUAGCUUGCACAGUCCUAUUUUAUUGAGUAAUUUACAUGACAUAUAGGAGUCAUAUUCCAAUAUAUAUUAUUCUGAGCUAUUUUUCAUGUUCUUCGAUUUCCUCUUUUAUCUUCCAUCUGCAGAAGUGCUUACACCUCUUACACACAACAUCCACGCAUUUUAAUUUACCCCUCCCUCUAAACAAAGUACUUAAAGAAAGAAACAAUUGUUUUGAAUAAUUAGCAUCAUUAAUCCUUGGCUGUUGAUACCUGAAUUGUCACUCCAGCACAUAAAAUUGCUUAGAUUGCAGCUUUCAUGCAAUGCAUCACAAAACACUUUACAAAUAAUAGCUUAAUGAAACACAAGAGAGCAACAAAUCAUCACCAGAGCAAAAGGACAUGUCAUAAAAUCUUUUUUGAACAAUGCAAGUGAUAUCAAACUAUUUAAAACCAGAUACAGCCUGUGCACCACGCACUUCUCAGCAGAAGGAAAUUCUGUGCAUGAGGUGCAUACCAAGCAAGAGCUUUUGAGCCAUGAGGGUUCAAGCAAACUUUUCUGUAGCAGAUUUUCCUCUGAUCUAAAAGGACACUCACAGAUUUAAAGAGAAAGAUUGUGCUCCCAUGUAGGACUUAUUUUCUAAGAAAUAUAUGAUUUAUUCAUAUCUGAAUAUAAACAGGACGAGAAUUUAAGUUUUAGGAGUAUACAUACCUAAAAUCCUUAUAUGUGGCCUUUAGUUAACUCUGAGCACACCAUUUCCAAAGUGGGGAAGCAAUUUUCUAGUUAUGGGUGUCCUGGUGGAACCUUAAUGCAAAACAAUCUGGGAACUGUACAUUCAAGGACCUGAAUGCAUAGUGACUUUAAGCUUCAAAUAUAUCUCUGAUCUGCUAAAUUUCACGGAGUUAUUUAUAACCAAUGGGAGAAAGCAUGAACCUCUUGUUCUUCUGGAUCUUAAGAGACAAGAGAUAAUGCUGAAAGUGACUUAAACCUUCUCUUUCUAUCUGCUACCUUGUGUGAAGGCAGAUCUGAACCACAAUCAGUCAUAGAUGAGUUGUCUCUUUGAGUUUCUCUACUUUUUUCAAAGAGGUGGAAAAAAGCCAAGAUUCAGUGACAAUCACCCUGACAAAGCCAGAAUUUCACCAGGAUCCCUGAUCCACUCUAUUGGAUAAAACAUUGAUGUUGUGUAUCUUUUAUGGGAAGAAACUUACGAGGGAUUUUCAAAUCUGAAAGAUUUCUCUCCUGAAAUAACUGAAAAAUGCUUAUGAUUUACAAGGCAUGUGGAAAACACUUCCCAGAGGCUACAGACUGGUAUAACUAUGGACAACCUUGACAAAUAGUCCCCUGAAGAAUUGUAAUAAUAUCUGUGAAAAAAUGCAUGGAUAGUAUUUCCAAGUCCCACAUUAGACAUUGGUAGCCAC